rfam:Desulfosporosinus sp. OT TOT.assembly.223, whole genome shotgun sequence.
UUGAACGGUGUUUCUGAAUCAUUGGGUGAAAUCCCCGAAUACACAGAAGAUUGGCUGUGCAGAAAGGCUAAUACUCCGACAUGCUGUGAUAAAAAGUGAAAGUGAUUCAUGGUAUGAAGCUCGGUGAAGGCGGCGAAACGUCGAUCUGUAAAAUGGUUGGUAAAGUAGUCGGGCCACCAUAAA